rnacentral:rRNA from 1 species
AUGAGGCUGGAUUCGCUAGUAAUCGCGCAUCAGCCACGGCGCGGUGAAUACGUUCCCGGGGCCCUUGUACACACCGCCCGUCAAGCCAUGGAAGCCGGGAGUGCCUGAAGUGUGCAACCGCAAGGAGCGCCCUAAGGUAAAACCGGUGACUGGGGCUAAGUCGUAACAAGGUAUC